rnacentral:lncRNA from 1 species
AUGACUUCUAAUUAUCUCUGGUUAAUUUAUAGUGAAUUUCCAAAGUCAGAUCAGGGGAUCCAGAAAUCGCUCUGGCCCUGUUCCACGAAAACUUAAAUAUCCCUUAAAAUACGACUCAUAUGAUCAUUUCGUUUCUUCCGUAUGAAAGUAGAUUCAUCAAAGUUCGAUUACAUAAUUUAUUCACUAUUUAAUUCCAUUCCC